rnacentral:pre_miRNA from 1 species
UAAUCUCAGCAGGUAGUGAUGAGUGUCGUCUGAAAAUCUCAUGAUGUCUGCUGGGAUGAGA